CGGAAGAUGUAACGGGGCUAAACCAUGCACCGAAGCUGCGGCAGCGACACUAUGUGUUGUUGGGUAGGGGAGCGUUCUGUAAGCCUGCGAAGGUGACCUGUGAGGGUUGCUGGAGGUAUCAGAAGUGCGAAUGCUGACAUAAGUAACGAUAAAGCGGGUGAAAAGCCCGCUCGCCGGAAGACCAAGGGUUCCUGUCCAACGUUAAUCGGGGCAGGGUGAGUCGACCCCUAAGGCGAGGCCGAAAGGCGUAGUCGAUGGGAAACAGGUUAAUAUUCCUGUACUUGGUGUUACUGCGAAGGGGGGACGGAGAAGGCUAUGUUAGCCGGGCGACGGUUGUCCCGGUUUAAGCAUGUAGGCUGGUUAUCCAGGCAAAUCCGGAUAAUCAAGGCUGAGGUGUGAUGACGAGGCACUACGGUGCUGAAGUAACAAAUGCCCUGCUUCCAGGAAAAGCCUCUAAGCAUCAGGUAACAUCAAAUCGUACCCCAAACCGACACAGGUGGUCAGGUAGAGAAUACCAAGGCGCUUGAGAGAACUCGGGUGAAGGAACUAGGCAAAAUGGUGCCGUAACUUCGGGAGAAGGCACGCUGGUGUGUAGGUGAAG
rnacentral:rRNA from 1 species